ACCGAUAGUGAACCAGUACCGUGAGGGAAAGGUGAAAAGUACCGCUGCGAGCGGAGUGAAAUAGAACCUGAAACCCUAUGCCUACAAGGUGUCAGAGCCCCUUCGGGGGUGAUGGCGUGCCUUUUGCUUAAUGAGUCUGCGAGUUACUCUCUGUGGCAAGCUUAAGGUCUUUUGGACCGGAGGCGUAGCGAAAGCGAGUCCGAAUAGGGCGAUUAGUUGCAGGGGGUAGACCCGAAGCGGAGGUGACCUACCCAUGGCCAGGUUGAAGCGUGAGUAAAAUCACGUGGAGGACCGAACCGUUGUGUGUUGAAAAAUGCUCGGAUGAGCUGUGGGUAGGAGUGAAAGGCUAAUCAAACCCCGUGAUAGCUGGUUCUCUCCGAAAUGCAUUUAGGUGCAGCGUCACGUGCUGAAGGACGGGGGUAGAGCACUGAAAGGGCUAGGGGGCAUACCCGCCUACCAACCCCUAUCAAACUCCGAAUACCGUCCGGUGGAGCGUGGCAGUGAGACAGUGGGGGAUAAGCUUCAUUGUCGAAAGGGAAACAGCCCAGAUCAGCAGCUAAGGUGCCUAAAGUACGCUAAGUGGAAAGGAGGUGGAGUCUCAUAGACAGUGAGGAUGUUGGCUUAGAAGCAGCCACCAUUUAAAAAAAGCGUAACAGCUUACUCAUCGAGAGACUCUGCGCCGAAAAUAAUUGGCGAUAAGCGUGCUACCGAAGCUCUGGAUGUCAUCCUUAUGGAUGGCGUGGUAGGAGAGCGUUCCCAGUGCAGCGAAGGGUGAUGGUGACUGACCCUGGAGCGCUGGGAAGUGAGUAUGCAGACAUGAGUAACGAUAAGACCGGUGAAAUCCCGGUCCGCCGUAAACCCAAGGUUUCCCGGGCAACGUUUUUCGUCCCGGGGUUAGUCGGGACCUAAGCCGAGGCCGAUAGGCGUAGGCGAUGGAAAGCUAGUCAAUAUUCUGGCACCUCCGACCCUUAAACUGGGGGGACGCGGUUUGAAAAGUAGCUAGGUUAUUGAAUUCCGAGAUGAUCCCACGGGUGAUUCGCACUACCAGACAAACCGCCAAGAAAAGCCCCAGCAAAUGCUAAGGAGCCCGUACCGUAAACCGACACAGGUGGGUGGGUAGAGUAUACCAAGGCGCAAGAGUGAAACCUGGUUAAGGAACUCGGCAAAAUGGCUCCGUAACUUCGGGAUAAGGAGUGCCCCUUUUUGGGGGCCGCAGUGAAUUGGCCCAUCCGACUGUUUAGCAAAAACACAGCAUUGUGCUAAGGCGUAAGCCGACGUAUACGAUGUGACACGUGACCAAUGCCAAAAGAUUACGGUAAGAUGUUAGCACUUUAGUGCGAAGCUUCGAGCCCAAGUCCUGGUGAAUGUCGGCCGUAACUAUAACGGUCCUAAGGUAGCGAAAUUCCUUGUCGGGUAAGUUCCGACCUGCACGAAUCGUGCAACGAGUUGGGCGCUGUCUCGACCAGGUGCUCAGUGAAAUUGUAGUUCCGGUGAAGAUGCCGGACACCCGCAGAAGGACGGAAAGACCCUAUAGACCUUAACUGUAAGCUGUUAUUGGUUGUUCGAUCUUAAUGCUCAGCAUAAGUGGGAGACAUUGAAGGAUGCGUUUAGGCGCGUCUGGAGUCAUCAGUGAGAUACCACCCUUUAAUAUUGGAUAAUCUAACCCCGAGCCGUCAUCCGGCCGUGGGGACAAUGGCAGCCGGU
rnacentral:rRNA from 1 species